rnacentral:rRNA from 1 species
GACAGAGGUGCCGAGCGUUAGGCGGAAUCACUGGGCUUAAAGCGUGUGUAGGCGGGUCGUUAAGUGUCUUGUGAAAUCCCACCGCUCAACGGUGGAACUGCUGGGCAUACUGGCGAUCUUGAGCCACCUAGGGGCAGACGGAACAAGCGGUGGAGCGGUGAAAUGCGUAGAUAUCGCUUGGAACGCCGACGGUGAAAACAGUCUGCUGGGGGUGUGCCGACGCUGAGACGCGAAAGCCAGGGGAGCAAACGGG